rnacentral:rRNA from 1 species
UACGUAGGGUGCAAGCGUUAAUCGGAAUUACUGGGCGUAAAGCGUGCGCAGGCGGUUGUGCAAGACAGAUGUGAAAUCCCCGGGCUCAACCUGGGAACUGCAUUUGUGACUGCACGGCUGGAGUGCGGCAGAGGGGGAUGGAAUUCCGCGUGUAGCAGUGAAAUGCGUUGAUAUCCGUGGGAACUCCGGUGGCGAAGGCGGCGUGCUGGACCUCAUCUGACGCUGAGGCGCGAAAGCCAGGGGAGCGAACGGG